rnacentral:misc_RNA from 1 species
UGAACACCCAUUUGCAUCCAACCAAUUUCUUCCCCAGAGGAAGAGUAAUAAGAUCCCAUGUCUCAUUUUUGCCAAAGUCUUCAUCUCUUCUACCAUAGCUGCCUUCCAAUUUGGAUCAAGGUAUGCUUCCUUCAAAUCCUGUGGGAUGGAGGUAGAAGAAACAGACAAGACAAAAGCUCUAUAGGAAGGAGAUAAAGAAUCAUAGGAAACAAACGUGGAUAUAGAAUGUUUAGUGCAAGUCCUAACUCCUUUUCUAAAAGCAAUAGAUAUAUCAAGGUGAUCAAAAGAAGUAUUAGAAGGAGUAUCAGAAGAAGGAGACUCACCACAUAAUUCUUUAGGCACAGAAUGUUGAGGAGGUGAAUCCAGAGGUUCUGACUGAUCAGUCAUAUCAUGCUUAAUGGUUGUAUCCGUUUUAUUCUGACAAGUGUAGGUUCUUAAAUCCAAUCUAUUCAAUCUCCCUGUGGUUUGAGGUUGGGGUUGAGGAACUGAUGGUGAUGGUUGGUCCUUAUCCUCAAUGCUAUGAUUGGGUUCAAAAAACAUCUCUCCCUGGACAAGUAAAAAUGUCGCCUUUUCCUUAUUAUGUUCCCCCUUAAGAGGUGGCUCAAAAUAAGGUUCAUGUUCCCUAAAGGUAACAUCCAUACUUACAAAGUAUUUCUUAGAGGGAGGAUGAUAACAUUUAUUACCCUUUUGAGUGCUAGAAUAACCCACAAAUACACAUUUUUGGGCUCUUAGUUCUAGUUUCCCAACAUUUGAUAUAUGAACAAAGCAAACACACGUAAAAAGCUUUGGAGGAAUAGUAUAGGAAUUCUUACCUUUUAAGAACUUU